rnacentral:rRNA from 1 species
UCUGGCGGCAGUAGCGCGGUGGUCCCACCUGACCCCAUGCCGAACUCAGAAGUGAAACGCCGUAGCGACGAUGGU